GCUGAACUUAAGCAUAUCAUA
rnacentral:rRNA from 1 species